rnacentral:tRNA from 1 species
GCAUUGGUGGUUCAAUGGUAGAACUCUCGCCUGCCACGCGGUAGGCCUUGAGUCGCUUCCCGGCUAAUACA